rnacentral:rRNA from 1 species
UCCCUUAGUAGCGGCGAGCGAACAGGGAAGAGCCCAGCGCCGAAUUCCGCGUCUCAAAGGGCGUUUGGAACAUGUGGCGUUUAGGAGGAAUCUCUCCGAGGGCAGACGGUGUCGCAAGUCCCCCUGAACGGGGCUGUGAUCCAGAGCGGGUGCGAGGCCCAUAGCUGGUACCGUCUCCUUUGGGUGUCCCCUCCUUGGAGUCGGGUUGCUUGGGAGUGCAGCCCUAAUUGGGUGGUAAACUCCACCUAAGGCUAAAUACGUCCGUGAGACCGAUAGCAAACAAGUACCGUGAGGGAAAGUUGCAAAGAACUUUGAAGAGAGAGUUCAAGAGUACGUGAAACCGCUCAGAGGCAAACGGGUGGGCCCACGAAAGCCGAAGGCGGGGGGAUUCAGUCGAGAGGACGGUGGGGCAGGACUGGCUGGUUGGACGGACCGUGCCAGGCCGGGUCAGUUCCCGAGAUCUGCCGCCUUUCGACGCAUUUCCCCCUGCUUAGUAGGACGCCGCAACCGGUUGGCGCUGCAGCCAUAAGGGAGAGUAAAUGGAAGGUAGCCAGUGAGUUCUUCUUCGGAGGCGCGAGCUGGUCCUAAGCCGACUCUCCUGGUGCUUGUGGCCCGACCGUGGUCGUGAGUCCCUCAACGGGAUGUYGCCGAGCCCUCUGACUGGAGCGGGAGAAAUGGCAGGCUGCUUUCCGCGGAAAAAAUCGAUCGCUUCACGCGUGCAGUGGGCGAUCUCCGGAKGUAGCUGCUGGUGCAUUUUUCUCCUGCGCUGGGCACAGGCAGUUGGCGGCGAGUAGGUCGGUCACCCACCCGACCCGUCUUGAAACACGGACCAAGGAGUCUAACAUGUGCGCGAGUCAUUGGGUCUUGAACAAGCCCAAAGGCGCAAUGAAAGUGAAGACCAGCACUGAAGCUGGUGGAGUUGGGAAACUGCGUCACUGAAGAUGCAGUUGCACCAACGGCCCGUCCCGUCCGCAUCGUCGGUGGGGCGGAGCGAGAGCGUACACGUUGGGACCCGAAAGAUGGUGAACUAUGCCUGGGCAGGACGAAGCCAGAGGAAACUCUGGUGGAGGUCCG